rnacentral:rRNA from 1 species
GACGAACGCUGGCGGCGUGCUUAACACAUGCAAGUCGAACGGAAAGGCCCUGCUUGCAGGGUACUCGAGUGGCGAACGGGUGAGUAACACGUGGGUGAUCUGCCCUGCACUUCGGGUUAAGCCUGGGAAACUGGGUCUAAUACCGGAUAGGAGCCAUUUUUAGUGGGAUGGUUGGAAAGUUUUUUCGGUGUAGGAUGAGCUUGCGGCCUAUCGGCUUGUUGGUGGGGUAAUGGCCUACCAAGGCGGCGGCGGGUAGCCGGACUGGGAGGGUGGACGGCGACCCUGGGACUGAGGUACGGCCCAGGCACCUACGGGAGGCAGCAGUGGGGAAUAUUGCACGAGCGGCGCAAGCCUGAUGCAGCGACGCCGCGUGGCGGAUGACGGCCUUAGGGUUGAAAACUCCUUUCGCAAGGGACGAAGCUUUUUGUGACGGUACCUAGACAAGAAGCACCGACUAACUACGUG